rnacentral:lncRNA from 1 species
ACGGUGUGAAACCCUUGAUUAUUGCCAAGUUUUUCUUCAUUUUAACCUGUCAAAUUCCUAAAUAUGAUGAAUUGUUCCUGUAUUUCAUAUGCAUGCAUGCAGUACCAUAAUUUAUCGUGUGGUAUGUGCUCACUUUUACAACCAUUGAUAUUAUAAAGUUCUGUAUGUUUGCCUGUUGAAAAAAAAAAAAAAAGAAAUUCUGUGUGUUUUCAAAAGUAUCAAUAUUGCACAUUGUUAGAGACAUAAGGCAGGAUCUCAAGGGUUUUUUGAAGCCUGGUGGUUUUGGGUUGGCAAUUGAGGCGAAGAAUUGGACCCUGCUGGUGGAAGGCCUGAAAGAGAUAUUCACAAUAGUGGUCUCUGACCAAUUGAUGGAGGUGGAUUCCCAGAUUGUUCUUUUCUGCGUGUCUCAGGAUGGUAGAGGGCUUUGGAUAUCAUGCAUUUUUCCUAGAGAUGUGGAAGAAUGCAUGUCUUUAGAUAGACUCUUUACCAUCCUGGUAUCGUGGUAAAGCUCUCUUUUAAGGGGAGUAAGGGAGGGAAGGGUUUGGGAUUUAUUUAUACCAGUGCAUGAUCCUUAUGACCUUAAGGUGGAGUGAUGUUUGGGAUUUGAACCAGUGGAUGAUCCAUAUCAUGGUAUGUUGGUCAAAGCUCUUUUUUAGACAGGAUAAGGGAGGGAAGGGUUUGGGAUUUAUACCAGUGCAUGAUCCUUAUGACCUUAAACCUUAAGGCGGAGUGAUGUUUGGUAUUUGAACCAGUGGAUGAUCCAUAUCAUGGUAUGUUGGUCAAAGCUCUUUUUUAGACAGGAUAAGGGAGGGAAGGGUUUGGGAUUUAUACCAGUGCGUGAUCCUUAUGACCUUAAGGUGGAGUGAUGUUUGGGAUUUGAACUAGUGGAUGAUCCAUAUCAUGGUAUGUUGGUCAAAGCUCUUUUUUAGACAGGGUAAAGGAAAGAGUGAUUUGGGAUUUCAACCAGUGCAUGAUCCUCUUUAAGUGGGAGUGAGGUUUGGGAUUUGAGCCAGAGGCGGAUGGAUGGCUGCAUGUUGAUAUGGUGAUAAAAGCUCUCUUUUAGAGGGUGUAAGUAAGGGAGAGAGAGUUUGGGAUUUUGAACCGGUGGAUGGCACAUGUGAACUGUAUAAUUAUCUUUAUUGCAACUCAUUCAUGCAAUUCUUUUUAUCAAUAAUUCUGAUUUUCAACAAUAUCUACUUUUUCUUCUUUAUUGGUAUAAUGACUUGGAUAUCAAUUAUUCUGAUUACUGGAUUGCAGGUU